rnacentral:rRNA from 1 species
UACAGAGGGUGCAAGCGUUAAUCGGAAUUACUGGGCGUAAAGCGCGCGUAGGUGGUUUGUUAAGUUGAAUGUGAAAUCCCCGGGCUUAACCUGGGAACUGCGUUUGAAACUACAAGGCUAGAGUGUGGCAGAGGGGGGUGGAAUUCCACGUGUAGCAGUGAAAUGCGUAGAGAUGUGGAGGAACACCGAUGGCGAAGGCAGCCCCCUGGGUUAACACUGACGCUCAGGCACGAAAGCGUGGGGAGCAAACAGG